GACGAACGCUGGCGGCGUGCUUAACACAUGCAAGUCGAACGAAGAGCGAUGGAAGCUUGCUUCUAUCAAUCUUAGUGGCGAACGGGUGAGUAACGCGUAAUCAACCUGCCCUUCAGAGGGGGACAACAGUUGGAAACGACUGCUAAUACCGCAUACGAUCUAAUCUCGGCAUCGAGGAUAGAUGAAAGGUGGCCUCUACAUGUAAGCUAUCACUGAAGGAGGGGAUUGCGUCUGAUUAGCUAGUUGGAGGGGUAACGGCCCACCAAGGCGAUGAUCAGUAGCCGGACUGAGAGGAUGAACGGCCACAGUGGGACUGAGACACGGCCCAGACUCCUACGGGAGGCAGCAGUGGGGAAUCUUCCGCAAUGGACGAAAGUCUGACGGAGCAACGCCGCGUGAGUGAUGACGGCCGUCGGGUUGUAAAGCUCUGUUAAUCGGGACGAAAGGCCUUCUUGCGAAUAGUGAGAAGGAUUGACGGUACCGGAAUAGAAAGCCACGGCUAACUACGUG
rnacentral:rRNA from 1 species